CCGGCUAACUACGUGCCAGCAGCCGCGGUAACACGUAGGGGGCGAGCGUUGUUCGGAAUCAUUGGGCGUAAAGGGCGCGCAGGCGGCCGUGUAAGUCUGGUGUAAAAUGGUUGUGCUCAACACAAUCAUGCGCUGGAAACUGCGGGGCUUGAGUCAACGAGGGGAUGCCGGAAUUCCAGGUGUAGGGGUGAAAUCUGUAGAUAUCUGGAAGAACACCAGUGGCGAAGGCAGGCAUCUGGCGACUGACUGACGCUGAGGCGCGAAGGUGCGGGGAGCAAACAGGUUUAGAUACCCUGGUAGUCCGCACAGUAAACGAUGUGCACCAGGUGGCGGGCAGCAGUGCUCGGUACCGAAGCAAACGCAUUAAGUGCACCGCCUGGGGAGUAUGCCCGCAAGGGUGAAACUCAAAGGAAUUGACGGGGGCCCGCACAAGCGGUGGAGCAUGUGGUUUAAUUCGACGAUACGCGAGAAACCUUACCAGGGCUUGACAUACACCGGGAUGCGGCGGAAACGUCGCAGCUGCUUGCAGCCGGUGUACAGGUGCUGCAUGGCUGUCGUCAGCUCGUGCUGUGAAGUGUUGGGUUAAGUCCCGCAACGAGCGCAACCCCUGCCUUCUGUUACCAUCAUUCAGUUGGGGACUCAGAAGGAACUGCCGGUGACAAACCGGAGGAAGGUGGGGACGACGUCAAGUCAUCAUGGCCCUUACGUCCUGGGCCACACACGUGCUACAAUGGCCGGUACAGAGUGCUGCGAAUCCGGAAGGAGGAGCGAAUCACAAAAAGCCGGUCUCAGUACGGACUGGAGUCUGCAACCCGACUCCACGAAGUUGGAAUCGCUAGUAAUCCCGUAUCAGCAUGACGGGGUGAAUACGUUCCCGGGCCUUGUACACACCGCCCGUCACACCAUCCGAGUUGGGGGUACCCGAAGUCGCUAGUCUGACCGCAAGGGGGACGGUGCCGAAGGUACGCCUGGUGAGGGGGGUGAAGUCGUAACAAGGCAGCCGUACCGGAAGGUGCGGCUG
rnacentral:rRNA from 1 species